rnacentral:lncRNA from 1 species
GUGCCCUUCUGCUUCUCCCGGCAGUUCCCCGAGCUUGUCUGCUCAGAGGACCCAGGGUCCGGAGCCCCAGCGUGGGCGCAUCACGGGAGAGGGUCCUUCUGCUCCAGGUAGGCAGGGAGACCCCCAAGGAAGCGGCCCUUCCCCCGGUGCCUGUUGCCGAGCAGCAACCCUCCGAGAGGGGAAGGCGCAGGGUGCUAGCCAGAACCGAGCUCCAGCACCACCACCUACCUCUCGCAGCGGACCUGAGUGCUGCACACGGUGGACCGCAUACCUGCGUGAGUGCAGGGCGAGGGGUGCUGGAGGUGCAGAACGG